AUUGCAAAAUUUGUUAUGUAUGUUCAGCAUUCCUGCCAUAGCAGUUACUCCAUUGAGCCAUUUAAUCGUAUUUCUCUAACUCAAAAUGACUUUUCCCUCCCUGUAGCCAAGAGGAAGUCUUGUCAUUGUGGAAAGAUCCAAAGAACCAAAAUCUACCAAUGAUUGCUUCAACUGCUUUUCUGCAAGUGCGCAGGUUUGUGGAGCAAGCAGCUGUUCAUUUGUUUUGUCAAUAAUAGAAAGAAGACUGGAAGAGCUGAUGACAGUUCAGUGGAAUGGAAAACAAUUUUUCUUAAGCAUUACUGGAGGCCAUCAAACAACGAGAAGGAAUAAUUUUUCUGCUGCUGCAUGUUCAGCAGAAUUUAAAGGUAUCUAUUAAAAAAAAACCAAACAAACCAAAAAACAGGUGUAAUGAUAAACCUAGAUUUCCCCCCUUUUUUGAAAAAGUGUAAUUACACUCAUCAGACAUAAUCAUCUGCUAUUUUCCCCAUCUUGCUAUUGCUCAGAGUGUAAUGAGAAAAGUUUGCUGGUGCUGGGUGGGCUUGAUUAUUCCCUGUUUCUUCUUGCUUAUUUUCUACCAAAAAAGAAAAUAGAC